GCCCUCGUAGCUCAGGGGACAGAGCACCGGUCUCCGGAACCGGGUGCGCAGGUUCGAGUCCUGCCGAGGGCG
rnacentral:tRNA from 2 species